rnacentral:rRNA from 1 species
GAUGAACGCUGGCGGCGUGCUUAACACAUGCAAGUCGAGCGAAGCAUUUUAAAGGAAGUUUUCGGAUGGAAUUUAAAAUGACUGAGCGGCGGACGGGUGAGUAACGCGUGGGUAACCUGCCUCAUACAGGGGGAUAACAGUUAGAAAUGACUGCUAAUACCGCAUAAGCGCACAGUGCUGCAUAGCACAGUGUGAAAAACUCCGGUGGUAUGAGGUGGACCCGCGUCUGAUUAGGUAGUUGGUGAGGUAACGGCCCACCAAGCCGACGAUCAGUAGCCGACCUGAGAGGGUGACCGGCCACAUUGGGACUGAGACACGGCCCAAACUCCUACGGGAGGCAGCAGUGGGGAAUAUUGGACAAUGGGGGAAACCCUGAUCCAGCGACGCCGCGUGAGUGAAGAAGUGUUUCGGCAUGUAAAGCUCUAUCAGCAGGGAAGAAAAUGACGGUACCUGACUAAGAAGCCCCGGCUAACUACGAGCCAGCCGCCGCGGUAA